UUCGCUGCCCUUUUCGUGUCAACUCGUGUUGUUCCAGUUGCUUCCAUUUGUUUCCAAAGAUUCCACGCGUUGUUCAUCGACGAAUGCUUUCUUUUUCGUUAUUUUUGGUGCAGAUAUGAAGAGGAUUUGUGAAGUGCCAGUGAUUUCAUGGUAAGUUUCUUUGAACAGAUUUGAGAAUUUGGGAUCGUUUGGGGUGUUUUGAAGUUUUUUUUAUUGGGAAAAGAAACCCUUGCUUCCUCCCGCAAUUUGUGCGCUUAGUUCUCAAUUGGGUUCACAGUAAAAACCCAUAAACUUUAGAGUAAAAACCUUGAAACUUAAAGAAAUGCUAUUCUUGCCGAAGACCUGCCAUAUAUUUGUGUCCCAAGCGACAUACAGAAUAAUUUACAAUGUCUUCAGCUUCUAUUGAUCUGGCCCAGUUUACAGCUUAGGGGAAAGAAAACUUGGAAUCAGACAUAACAUGUAUGAUGAAUAAGAAACUCAUACACAGAAUGACCCCACCAAGAUUUCAGCUACUUGGCAAUCAACGACUAAUAUCACUUCUAAGAAGGCAAGAUCAACAUAUGGCAUGUCAGAGCAGUAUAUUUUUCACAAACAGAUGGUAAAAUUGUACACAUCACAUUA